rnacentral:rRNA from 1 species
GGACGGGGAUAAACCCGGGAAACUGGGUAUAAUACCCGAUAGGUCUCGAUUGCUGGAAUGCAUCGAGAUUUAAAGCUCCGGCGCCUAAGGAUGGGUCUGCGGCCUAUCAGGUAGUAGUGGGUGUAGCGUACCUACUAGCCUACGACGGGUACGGGUUGUGAGGGCAAGAGCCCGGAGAUGGAUUCUGAGACACGAAUCCAGGCCCUACGGGGUGCAGCAGGCGCGAAAACUUUACAAUGCUGGCAACAGCGAUAAGGGAACCUCGAGUGCCAGGUUACAAAUCUGGCUGUCGAGAUGCCUAAAAAGCAUUUCAUAGCAAGGGCCGGGCAAGACCGGUGCCAGCCGCCGCGGUAACACCGGUGGCUCGAGUGGUAACCGUUAUUAUUGGGUCUAAAGGGUCUGUAGCCGGCCGGAUAAGUCUCUUGAGAAAUCUGGCAGCUUAACUGUCAGGCUUUCAGGAGAUACUGUCUGGCUCGAGGCCGGGAGAGGUGAGAGGUACUUCAGGGGUAGGGGUGAAAUCUUGUAAUCCUUGAAGGACCACCAGUGGCGAAGGCGUCUCACCAGAACGGACCUGACGGCAAGGGACGAAAGCUAGGGGCACGAACCGGAUUAGAUACCCGGGUAGUCCUAGCCGUAAACGAUACUCGCUAGGUGUCGGCCACGGUGCGACCGUUGUCGGUGC